AUUGAACGCUGGCGGCAGGCCUAACACAUGCAAGUCGAGCGGAUGAAGGGAGCUUGCUCCUGGAUUCAGCGGCGGACGGGUGAGUAAUGCCUAGGAAUCUGCCUGGUAGUGGGGGAUAACGUCCGGAAACGGGCGCUAAUACCGCAUACGUCCUGAGGGAGAAAGUGGGGGAUCUUCGGACCUCACGCUAUCAGAUGAGCCUAGGUCGGAUUAGCUAGUUGGUGGGGUAAAGGCCUACCAAGGCGACGAUCCGUAACUGGUCUGAGAGGAUGCUCAGUCACACUGGAACUGAGACACGGUCCAGACUCCUACGGGAGGCAGCAGUGGGGAAUAUUGGACAAUGGGCGAAAGCCUGAUCCAGCCAUGCCGCGUGUGUGAAGAAGGUCUUCGGAUUGUAAAGCACUUUAAGUUGGGAGGAAGGGCAGUAAGUUAAUACCUUGCUGCUUUGACGUUACCAACAGAAUAAGCACCGGCUAACUUCGUG
rnacentral:rRNA from 1 species